rnacentral:rRNA from 1 species
GACGAACGCUGGCGGCGUGCUUAACACAUGCAAGUCGAACGAAGUGGCGCACGGGUGAGUAACGCGUAAUCAACCUGCCCUUCAGAGGGGGACAACAGUUGGAAACGACUGCUAAUACCGCAUACUGAAGGAGGGGAUUGCGUCUGAUGAGGUAGUUGGAGGGGUAACGGCCCACCAAGGCGAGGAUCAGUAGCAGGGCUGGAAGGAUGAACGGCCAAAUUGGGACUGAGAAACGGCCCAGACUCCUACGGGAGGCAGCAGUGGGGAAGCUUCCGAAAUGGACGAAAGUCUGACGGAGCAACGCCGGGGGAGUGAUGACGGCCUUCGGGUUGUAAAGCUCUGUUAAUCGGGACGCGGUACCGGAAUAGAAAGCCACGGCUAACUACGUGCCAGCAGCCGCGGUAAUAC